rfam:Capsaspora owczarzaki ATCC 30864 unplaced genomic scaffold supercont2.3, whole genome shotgun sequence.
GUAGGAGUAGGAAAGUGGUUAAAUCCGAUCGACUCAAGUUCGAUUCUCUUGCAGUUCGGGGGUUCGAAUCCCUCCUCCUACA